CCAGAGAGCGGCGUACGGGUGCGUAACACGUGUGCAACCUACCUUUAUCUGGGGGAUAGCCUUUCGAAAGGAAGAUUAAUACCCCAUAAUAUAAUGAUUGGCAUCAAUUAUUAUUGAAAACUCCGGUGGAUAGAGAUGGGCACGCGCAAGAUUAGAUAGUUGGUGAGGUAACGGCUCACCAAGUCAAUGAUCUUUAGGGGUCCUGAGAGGGAGAUCCCCCACACUGGUACUGAGACACGGACCAGACUCC
rnacentral:rRNA from 1 species